GAUCCUGGCUCAGGAUGAACGCUGGCGGCGUGCUUAACACAUGCAAGUCGAACGAAGAUGCCAUAGUAGAAGCAAUUAGCUUGCUAAGAGUGGACACAGUGGGAUCUUAGUGGCGGACGGGUGAGUAACGCGUGGGUAACCUGCCGUAUACAGGGGGAUAACACCUGGAAACAGGUGCUAAUACCGCAUAAGCGCACGAUGUCGCAUGACAACGUGUGAAAAGCCGAGACGGUA
rnacentral:rRNA from 1 species